rnacentral:rRNA from 1 species
UGGGGGAUAUUGGACAAUGGGGGAAACCCUGAUCCAGCCAUGCCGCGUGAGUGAUGAAGGCCCUAGGGUUGUAAAGCUCUUUUACCCGGGAAGAUAAUGACUGUACCGGGAGAAUAAGCUCCGGCUAACUCCGUGCCAGCAGCCGCGGUAAUACGGAGGGAGCUAGCGUUGUUCGGAAUCACUGGGCGUAAAGCGCGCGUAGGCGGCCAUUCAAGUAAGUGGUGAAAGCCCGGGGCUCAACCCCGGUAUUGCCUUUGAGACUGGAUGGCUAGAAUCUUGGAGAGGUGAGUGGAAUUCCGAGUGUAGAGGUGAAAGUCGUAGAUAUUCGGAAGAACACCAGUGGCGAAGGCGACUCACUGGACAAGUAUUGACGCUGAGGUGCGAAAGCGUGGGGAGCAAACAGGAUUAGAUACCCCCGUAGUCC